CCUAAUACAUGCAAGUCGAGCGAAUCGAUGGGAGCUUGCUCCCUGAGAUUAGCGGCGGACGGGUGAGUAACACGUGGGCAACCUGCCUAUAAGACUGGGAUAACUUCGGGAAACCGGAGCUAAUACCGGAUACGUUCUUUUCUCGCAUGAGAGAAGAUGGAAAGACGGUUUACGCUGUCACUUAUAGAUGGGCCCGCGGCGCAUUAGCUAGUUGGUGAGGUAAUGGCUCACCAAGGCGACGAUGCGUAGCCGACCUGAGAGGGUGAUCGGCCACACUGGGACUGAGACACGGCCCAGACUCCUACGGGAGGCAGCAGUAGGGAAUCUUCCGCAAUGGACGAAAGUCUGACGGAGCAACGCCGCGUGAACGAAGAAGGCCUUCGGGUCGUAAAGUUCUGUUGUUAGGGAAGAACAAGUACCAGAGUAACUGCUGGUACCUUGACGGUACCUAACCAGAAAGCCACGGCUAACUACGUGCCAGCAGCCGCGGUAAUACGUAGGUGGCAAGCGUUGUCCGGAAUUAUUGGGCGUAAAGCGCGCGCAGGUGGUUCUUUAAGUCUGAUGUGAAAGCCCACGGCUCAACCGUGGAGGGUCAUUGGAAACUGGGGAACUUGAGUGCAGAAGAGGAAAGUGGAAUUCCAAGUGUAGCGGUGAAAUGCGUAGAGAUUUGGAGGAACACCAGUGGCGAAGGCGAC
rnacentral:rRNA from 2 species